GGGGGAACUGAAACAUCUAAGUACCCCGAGGAAGAGAAAUCAACCGAGAUUCCGGUAGUAGCGGCGAGCGAAACCGGAUUAGCCCUUAAGCUAGUUUUGCGUUAGGUGAAAGUUCUGGAAAGUUCUGCGAUACAGGGUGAUAGCCCCGUAACCGACAACGCAUUAUCAGUGAAAACGAGUAGGACGGGACACGUGAUAUCCUGUUUGAAUAUGGGGGGACCAUCCUCCAAGGCUAAAUACUCCUGACUGACCGAUAGUGAACCAGUACCGUGAGGGAAAGGCGAAAAGAACCCCUGUGAGGGGAGUGAAAUAGAACCUGAAACCGUGUACGUACAAGCAGUAGGAGCCCACUUGUUGGGUGACUGCGUACCUUUUGUAUAAUGGGUCAGCGACUUAAUUUUAGUAGCAAGGUUAACCGUUUAGGGGAGCCGUAGGGAAACCGAGUCUUAACUGGGCGAAAUAGUUGCUAGGAUUAGACCCGAAACCGAGUGAUCUAGCCAUGGGCAGGUUGAAGGUGAGGUAACACUUACUGGAGGACCGAACCGACUAAUGUUGAAAAAUUAGCGGAUGACUUGUGGCUAGGGGUGAAAGGCCAAUCAAACUCGGAGAUAGCUGGUUCUCCCCGAAAGCUAUUUAGGUAGCGCCUCGGACGAAUACUACUGGGGGUAGAGCACUGUUAAGGCUAGGGGGUCAUCCCGACUUACCAACCUUUGCAAACUCCGAAUACCAGUAAGUACUAUCCGGGAGACACACGGCGGGUGC
rnacentral:rRNA from 1 species